UACGUAGGGUGCGAGCGUUAAUCGGAAUUACUGGGCGUAAAGCGUGCGCAGGCGGUUUUGUAAGGCAGAUGUGAAAUCCCCGGGCUUAACCUGGGAACUGCGUUUGAAACUACAAGGCUAGAGUGUGGCAGAGGGGGGUGGAAUUCCACGUGUAGCAGUGAAAUGCGUAGAGAUGUGGAGGAACACCGAUGGCGAAGGCAGCCCCCUGGGUUAACACUGACGCUCAGGCACGAAAGCGUGGGGAGCAAACAGG
rnacentral:rRNA from 1 species